rnacentral:snRNA from 1 species
AUCGCUUCUCGGCCUUUUUGGCUAAGAUCAAGUGUAGUAUCUGUUCUUAUCAGUUUAAUAUCUGAUACGUCCUCUAUCCGAGGACAAUAUAUUAAGUGGAUUUUUGGAGCAGGGAGAUGGAAUAGGAGCUUGCUCCGUCCACUCCGCGCAUCGACCUGGUAUUGCAGUACCUCCAGGAACGGUGCACCCCCU